AUAUGACAUGUGUGUGAAUGACAAUUUCUCCAUCUUAUAAAUAGAAUAAAGAAAAGCAGUUUUGGUUUGUGAUUGAAUUGUUAUAGAGUGAAGAGUUGUGGUUUUGGACUUUGAUUACAAUUUUGAAAAGAAUCCGGCUAAUGUUAAUAACAAUAUCAAGAUGAAUAAUGGAAAUGGAUUAAGAUUUGCCAACAAAGAUGAGGAAAUUCAGUAUUGGAAAAAUCUAGCUGAAGAUUAUUUACAAGAUGCUGAAAGGAUACAAAAAGAAUCGGAUGAGUUCAUAACUGAAUCCCAACAAUUAGAUAAGGAAUAUGAAGCCACUAUUGAGCAGAAUGAGAAAAAAAUCAAAGAACUGACACUGGUCAAUAACAGAGCUCAGAACGAAAUAGACUCUUUGAGGAUCAAAGUCGAACAAAUCAAUAAGGAUAAUUGCAACCUUGAGACUGAGAUUACAAAUUUAAGAAAGGAAAAAGUUGAGAUGGCCAAAUGCAUUAGAGAUUUAGAACAAAAAAACGAUGAUUUGGAAAGAUCGAGACGAAUAAUUGAGGCCGCCCUUGCAUCAAUAGAAGCAGCUUUCAAUAGUGAAGUUGAACGAAAUGCUAUUCUCGAAUCUGAGGUGGAUGAGAAAGAGAGCCUCAAAGAGAAAUUGCAGCGAUUUGCGGAUGAAACGAGAGAUUUGAAACAGGAGCUAUUAGUCAGAGAAAAGGGGAAGAUCCCAGAUAAUGAACGAAUAUUGAAUGGAUACAAAAAUUCUGUGGUAGAUUCAAAUCGACUGAGGGAAAACGAAACUCAGACCAGUCCAAUGAAAAAUGACUUCCAAGCUCCAAUUUCACCGGCAUCCAGGGUUAUGGCCUUAAAUAUAGUUAGCGAUCUUAUUAGGAAAGUUGGUUUAUCAAGGUGGCUGUGUUCACAUUGCGGACAAGUUAAGUGUACUGUAUGUCAACCCAACAGUAAAUUGAAGUCGUAGCAACACUUUACCAAGGGCUUAGAACGUAGAUUAGAAAAAUCGAAACUAGACUACAGAGAUAUUUCAAGAAAUGAUAUUAGAAUAAGCAGAAGCUCAGCAAAAAACAGCCCAGCUCCAGGACUACACGGGUUCACAAAAUGAAAGUUCCUACUUUCAGACAAUGUUUCUUCUGAUGUACUACUUAAAAAAAA